CACCCAAAAUCUCCCUCCGCCCCCCUCCGCCCUCAGUCAGACGCUCCGGCUGCCCCUCCCCCUGGCCCGCCUACUCCGCUCCUCCGCCGGCCACCAAGUUCUCCUGCUGGGACUGGGGACCCUAACUAAACCCGACGAGCCGUAAGAGCUCGCCGCUGCUGCCUCAGAUCGCCUCCGCUUGGUAAUUUCUCUUUGCAGAUCAGAUCUCGAUGCUAUUCCUGGCUAUCAGCUAGUAUUAAUGGGUAGGAAUUCAGAGAUCAUACUAGCACAAUUCAUCAAAAUGGAAACAUUUUCUGCCUUCAAAUAAAAUGCUUGCUGCGUAACAAGAUAGGUUAGGAUGAACAUAAUUUUGUGAGCUAGGCACUAACCUGCUAAUUAUUUUGCAUCUCUUUUUUGUCUGAUUUAUCUUUUUAUACCUGAUAGUUCAGCCUGGGACAUGUUUCAUUCCCCGCCCCGCCACAUGUUCUCAAGAUAAAUCAGAGCAAAGUAGAAAAGACAAACUCAUGAUCCAAUCAAGUGGAGCUACUGUGCAAAUUUGAACCUCUGGAAAUUUUCUUCUUAUUGAGUUUCAUUGACAGUGCAAAAAUACGGAAUUGACAACACUAAAACAUGACUUCUUUAAUGUGGUUGAUAGGCUUUGUUGUACUGCAGCCUUGUUACUCGUAUUCUGUUCUGUACUUUAUUAUGUAGCAGAUUAUUUAGGGCAAGUACGAGUCUGUUCAAUCCCAACUCCACCUAUGUGGUUCAUAUAGCUGCCACUGAUUCAGAGGGCAUUGCUUAUUUUGUUUCUUUCGGAAUACAGGUAAUGGCAGAGCUUUGCCG
rnacentral:lncRNA from 1 species